UAGGUGUCUCUUUUUCACUUUUUCACUUUUAUUUUUAUAGUGGAGAAGGGAUGGGGUUUUACAAGAAUCUUGAUCACAAUUUUUUAGGUGCUGUGCUGGGAUUUAGAGGCCAUUACUUUUUUCUCUUUCCGUGCAGAUUUGUGAACAAAAUAAUGAUGAAAAGGCUGUAACAAGGGCUUUGAUGAUAUCUAUCAAGAUAAGUUCAUUUUUUCCUAUCAUCAAAUAGAGACAUUGGAUUUGCAUACACUACUACUUUUCCGGUGCUUAUCUAUAAUGUGUUUCUCUAAAAACAUCCGAAAUUUACGCACCAUUGCAUUUAUAAAGUUUUGAAUUCAUAAAUUAACGACACUUUUCAUUACUGUAGAGUACCUGUGCAAAUGGAUUAUGGAUGGUUCCAAACAGAGGCAGAGGAACUUGUGCCAUUGCUGACAAGGAAAUGUCAGCAGCGAGGGGACCAUGAAUGCUUGAUCUUCCAAUGCAGUAUGAGCAAUAUUGAUCCGAAUUGUUUGUUCUUCAAAGCCACUUUAGUUUGUUGCUUUUAAAUUCGAUAACGAUCACUAGUACACCUUAUUUCCUGUCUCGUACAGUUGCAGCCUUAUCCGAGUGUUAUAUUUCUGUCUGAUUUUGCAGUUAAGCAAUUCAAUAGUCCAAAGAGUUGUAUCUCUGUUGAUUCAGAUAGAAUAUGACAAGUUCAAAGAGUUAAAUUUGCUGAAUGGAUUUGACUCCUCUAAAGUGAGAAGAGUGCACUUAGAGGAUAAAGUACAAAAAUAACAGUUGAUUUUUUUAAUUAACGGUUAUUAUUGCACUUUAUUUUCUAAAGAGCACCUCACUGUAGAGGAGCCAAAUCCUUGGUGAAUAGUGCAGUUUUCCGUGAAAAAAGAUGAAUGAAUUAGUGAGCUUGCAAAUUUUUUUCUUUUUCCCACAGCAAGUCAAGAUUGUAAAAUAGUUUGGUUCAAUUAACCGAGCCAAUCUGAAUCAAUUUUAAUUGUUUUAGUUUGAUUUGGAUUGUCCGGAUUAUCAGGUCAAUCCAAUCCAAUGAACACCUUUAGUUGGUAGCUAUUGAAGGCCUUGGAAAGUCUAUGGCCACUCAUACCAGUCAGGCCAAUGGUUUCAUUUUCAUAUUUUCAUCUGCUUUCCUGUGCCAACCAACCUCAGGUGACACAUCUCAUGGAGCCAACUUCUGGAAAAAGGCAAGCAAAAACUACUUCAGAUCGCUGCAGACUUCACCAAGGUCCUUCAUAUAUGCAUCAUUUGGAGGCAUGGGAACUAGCAUAGUUAAACAAACCAGAGAAAUUGAGGGGGAAGGGGAGGGGUUGUGAAGGAUUCUAGAAGGGUUACAAAGUGAACCAGGUGAUAACAGGCAAAGAACUGGAGUGUAUAAGAGAUUAUGGAUGGAGGAAAAAAAUGAAGAUAUCAAGAGGAAUGCCUCUAAGUGGAGUGAAAGUACUGCAAUAGCAGCUAGUCUAUGUGGAAAGUUCAGAGAAAAAUAUCAGCUGAGUUUAUAAAGAUUUUGAUGACAGGUAUAGGUAAAUAUAAUUGAUUCUACCAGCUGAGGUAAUGGAAUUUCCAACAGUACAACACUAUCUGCCACCCUCAUUAGGUAAAUGAAUGCACACAAUAUGGAUUUGUAUGUUUAUAUAUAUGUAUUUGCAAAAUAAGUACCAAAGCAUAGAUGCUGGUGUCAUGUAACUCGUACAAUCUUGAAGAGUCUGCUAAGACUUAAUGGACUAAUGGAGACUACAGGGUGAAAUAAUAUGAAAUAACUUGAAUACAAAAAUAUUUUAUUUACACUCCCAUUUUUAUGCCAGAUGCACUGCAGCAAAACUUUUGAAAACGGUAAACAAAUGCAUAUGCUGAUGAAGAAGACGUAAAAUGUUG